rnacentral:rRNA from 1 species
CUGGGGCUGAUUCUGGGCGACAUGCUGAUGGCAGGGGCGUUCGCCAUCGUUGGAUUCGUGACGCGGACGGGGUAUAGUGUGAUGCCGCUGUGAGGCAGGGCGGCCUUGUGG